GAUGAACGCUGGCGGCGUGCCUAAUACAUGCAAGUCGAGCGAACGGACGAGAAGCUUGCUUUUCUGAUGUUAGCAGCGGACGGGUGAGUAACACGUGGAUAACCUACCUAUAAGACUGGGAUAACUUCGGGAAACCGGAGCUAAUACCGGAUAAUAUUUUGAACCGCAUGGUUCAAAAGUGAAAGACGGUCUUGCUGUCACUUAUAGAUGGAUCCGCGCUGCAUUAGCUAGUUGGUAAGGUAACGGCUUACCAAGGCAACGAUGCAUAGCCGACCUGAGAGGGUGAUCGGCCACACUGGAACUGAGACACGGUCCAGACUCCUACGGGAGGCAGCAGUAGGGAAUCUUCCGCAAUGGGCGAAAGCCUGACGGGGCAACGCCGCGUGAGUGAUGAAGGUCUUCGGAUCGUAAAACUCUGUUAUUAGGGAAGAACAUAUGUGUAAGUAACUGUGCACAUCUUGACGGUACCUAAUCAGAAAGCCACGGCUAACUACGUG
rnacentral:rRNA from 1 species